rnacentral:rRNA from 1 species
UUUUGGGCUGUCGCAGAUGGAUGAGCCUGCGUUGGAUUAGCUAGUUGGUGAGGUAAGGGCCUACCAAGGCUACGAUCCAUAGCUGAUUUGAGAGGAUGAUCAGCCACAUUGGGACUGAGACACGGCCCAAACUCCUACGGGAGGCAGCAGUGAGGAAUAUUGGACAAUGGGGGCAACCCUGAUCCAGCAAUGCCAUGUGUGUGAAGAAGGCCUUAGGGUUGUAAAGCACUUUAGUUGGGGAAGAAAGCUUUGAGGUUAAUAGCCUUGAGGAAAAGGACGUUACCCAAAGAAUAAGCACCGGCUAACUCCGUGCCAGCAGCCGCGGUAAUACGGGGGGUGCAAGCGUUAAUCGGAAUUACUGGGCGUAAAGGGUCUGUAGGUGGUUUGUUAAGUCAGAUGUGAAAGCCUAGGGCUCAACCUUGGAACUGCAUUUGAUACUGGUAAACUAGAGUACGGUAGAGGAAUGGGGAAUUUCUGGUGUAGCGGUGAAAUGCGUAGAGAUCAGAAGGAACACCAAUGGCGAAGGCAACAUUCUGGACCGAUACUGACACUGAGGGACGAAAGCGUGGGGAUCAAACAGGAUUAGAUACCCUGGUAGUCCACGCUGUAAACGAUGAGUACUAGCUGUUGGAGUCGGUGUAAAGGCUCUAGUGGCGCAGCUAACGCGAUAAGUACUCCGCCUGGGGACUACGGCCGCAAGGCUAAAACUCAAAGGAAUUGACGGGGACCCGCACAAGCGGUGGAGCAUGUGGUUUAAUUCGAUGCAACGCGAAGAACCUUACCUGGUCUUGACAUCCUGCGAUCUUUCUAGAGAUAGAUUGGUGCCUUCGGGAACGCAGUGACAGGUGCUGCACGGCUGUCGUCAGCUCGUGUUGUGAAAUGUUGGGGUUAAGUCCCGCAACGAGCGC